AUACGUAUGGGGCAAGCGUUAUCCGGAAUUAUUGGGCGUAAAGAGUGCGUAGGUGGUUACCUAAGCGCAAGGUUUAAUCUUGAGGCUCAACCUCAUUCUGCCUUGCGAACUGGGCUACUUGAGUGCAGGAGGGGAAAGCGGAAUUCCCAGUGUAGCGGUGAAAUGCGUAGAUAUUGGGAAGAACACCGGUGGCGAAGGCGGCUUUCUGGACUGUAACUGACACUGAGGCACGAAAGCGUGGGGAGCAAACAGGAUUAGAUACCCUGGUAGUCCACGCCGUAAACGAUGGGCACUAGUUGCUGGGUACGAAUGUAUUCAGUGACGCAGUUAACGCAAUAAGUGCUCCGCCUGGGGAGUACGGUGGCAACACUAAAACUCAAAUGAAUUGACGGGG
rnacentral:rRNA from 1 species